CCUACGGGUGGCAGCAGUGAGGAAUAUUGGUCAAUGGGCGAGAGCCUGAACCAGCCAAGUCGCGUGAGGGAAUACGGUCCUAUGGAUUGUAAACCUCUUUUGUCGGGGAGCAAAAACCGGUACGUUUCCCGCAUCGAGGGUACCCGAAGAAAAAGCAUCGGCUAACGCCGUGCCAGCAGCCGCGGUAAUACGGAGGAUGCGAGCGUUAUCCGGAUUUAUUGGGUUUAAAGGGUGCGCAGGCGGAGUGUUAAGUCAGCGGUAAAAUUGCGGGGCUCAACCCCGUCAAGCCGUUGAAACUGGCGUGCUAGAGUGGGCGAGAAGUAUGCGGAAUGCGUGGUGUAGCGGUGAAAUGCAUAGAUAUCACGCAGAACUCCGAUUGCGAAGGCAGCAUACCGGCGCCCAACUGACGCUCAGGCACGAAAGCGUGGGUAUCGAACAGGAUUAGAUACCCUUGUAGUC
rnacentral:rRNA from 1 species